UAAUCCCGGCGCCCCGAGUGGUAGUCAUGUUUAUUGGGUUUAAAGCAUUCGUAGCCGGUUGGAUUAGUUCUCGGUGAAAUUUAGCGUCUUAAACGUUAAGAAGGCUGAGAAAACUUACCAACUAGGGACCGGAAGAAGUAGGGGGAAUGUCGGGGGGAGCGGUAAAAUGUUGUAAUCCUCGAUGGACCAUCAGUGGCGAAGGCGCCCUACUAGAACGGCUCCGACGGUCAGGAAUGAAAGCUGGGGGAGCAAACCGGAUUAGAUACCCGGGUAGUCCCAGCCGUAAACGCUGUCUGCAAAGUGCUGCAUUUGUUUCGAGCUUAUGCAGUGUUGAAGAGAAAUCGUUAAGCAGACCACCUGGGAAGUACGGUCGCAAGGCUG
rnacentral:rRNA from 1 species